UCCCUGGUGGCUCAGAGGUUAAAGCGUCUGCCUGCAAUGCAGAAGACCUGGGUUCGAUCCCUGGGUCGGGAA
rnacentral:tRNA from 1 species